rnacentral:lncRNA from 1 species
UGCACUGGGAAACACAGAUGAAGAAAGCCAACACCGCUUUGUCCUUCAGUACCUGGCUCCCUUUUCAGCUCGUCUUGCGACUCCAGGCAUUAUGCCUGAAAAGUCUCCUGGACGCCUGUGAGGCUCUAAUUCCCUGGGUCCCAUUGUCAUGUCUCUGGAUUUGCGAAGAUUAACCGGACCUUCUGUGGAACUCCCGUGUCCCUCAACUUUUGUGACAUGUCCCCUAAUUCUGCCCAUGGUCAUCUGCACCUGCACGACUUAGGGUCCAUGUUCCUUGGACGGGAAGAGACAGGCAGGAGUCGGAAUGAUGAACCAGCACACUGGGGCAUUUUCUCAUGUAGCCCAAGUGACCCCAUGGUCUUCUUGAGCUUUGGAACCAGUCGCGUCCCCCUUGACACUGCACCCGACUCCCAGUUUCUCAAUCUUGUUGGCCCUCCGGCGAUCUCCCGUUGGAUGAAUUGCAUCUGCUGAAACUCGAGUCCCCUUUGAUUUGUGCUUCAUUAAUUAUUCAUGAUUCAGGUUGGAAGGCCUGCUGACGACCCCCUGUGGCCGUUUUCCGAGCUUUCCGGUCACAUCGUUUCCUUCCACCCUCUUUGGUUCCUUGUGGUCCUGCUCCUUCUGCUGUCAGAGGAGCAGAGAGUUGAUCUUAUUGAUUCUGGAUACGG